rnacentral:rRNA from 1 species
CACGGAGUUAGCCGGUGCUUAUUCCUCUGGUACCGUCAGUUGAACUAGAAAGUCCCUUUUUCGUCCCAGAUAAAAGAAGUUUACAACCCAGAGGGCCUUCAUCCUCCACGCGGCAUGGCUGGUUCAGACUUGCGUCCAUUGACCAAUAUUCCUUA